GACGAACGCUGGCGGCGUGCUUAACACAUGCAAGUCGAACGGAAAGGCCCUGCUUUUGUGGGGUGCUCGAGUGGCGAACGGGUGAGUAACACGUGAGUAACCUGCCCUUGACUUUGGGAUAACUUCAGGAAACUGGGGCUAAUACCGGAUAGGAGCUCCUGCUGCAUGGUGGGGGUUGGAAAGUUUCGGCGGUUGGGGAUGGACUCGCGGCUUAUCAGCUUGUUGGUGGGGUAGUGGCUUACCAAGGCUUUGACGGGUAGCCGGCCUGCGAGGGUGACCGGCCACAUUGGGACUGAGAUACGGCCCAGACUCCUACGUGAGGCAGCAGUGGGGAAUAUUGCACAAUGGGCGGAAGCCUGAUGCAGCAACGCCGCGUGCGGGAUGACGGCCUUCGGGCUGUAAACCGCUUUCGCCUGUGACGAAGCGUGAGUGACGGUAAUGGGUAAAGAAGCACCGGCUAACUACGUG
rnacentral:rRNA from 1 species